rnacentral:misc_RNA from 1 species
UGCAUAUGCAAUUGCAUCUUGGCUUCAUUAACACUAGCUAUGGUUGUUACCAGACACCAGCGAGAAAGGCUUAGCAUAUCUCUUGACUACUGUAGCCAUAUAUUUUCCCUGAUGCUCAGCAAGAGCCAAACCCACCUCUGUUUCAGUUGGCUGCCUCGAGCCGUCUCCAGAAAAGACUCCAGCACCAUAUGGAGACCCUCCCCUAAUGGAAUCCAUUCUAAACAUUCCAGCUCCGAAAGUG